UAUUAUAUUUAUAUGUCGCAGCGCGGUCAGGAUUAUCGGCCAUUUCGAAUAUUAAAUAACACGCAAAUAGUCCUUACAAUGUAAUUGAACUAACAGGCACAGGAUUACAACUAAUAGUCAAACAAUUAGGAGUCGUAUGAAACGCGGUGAUCCCGACGGUUAUGCCAAGCCAAGCCAAGACUUCUACGCAGCUUCCCUGACGGAGCUUAACUGUCCGCCCUCGCAGGUCUCCUCUACCGUCACCCUCGGUUCGAGUACCAUCCCCUGCUUAGCACUUCCGCUAAUUCCACCCAAGUACUAUAAGUAUGCAACCCAUAGUACUACUUGCGUUUCACAUGAACCCUCCGA